AGAGUUUGAUCAUGGCUCAGAAUGAACGCUGGCGGCAGGCCUAACACAUGCAAGUCGAACGGGUCCUUCGGGACUAGUGGCGGACGGGUGAGUAACGCGUGGGAACAUACCCAAAGGUACGGAAUAGCCUCGGGAAACUGAGAGUAAUACCGUAUGUGCCCUUCGGGGGAAAGAUUUAUCGCCUUUGGAUUGGCCCGCGUUGGAUUAGGUAGUUGGUGGGGUAAUGGCCUACCAAGCCGACGAUCCAUAGCUGGUUUGAGAGGAUGAUCAGCCACACUGGGACUGAGACACGGCCCAGACUCCUACGGGAGGCAGCAGUGGGGAAUCUUAGACAAUGGGGGAAACCCUGAUCUAGCCAUGCCGCGUGAUCGAUGAAGGCCUUAGGGUUGUAAAGAUCUUUCAGAUGGGAAGAUAAUGACGGUACCAUCAGA
rnacentral:rRNA from 1 species